rnacentral:rRNA from 1 species
UGCGUAGGCGGGCUAAUAAGUCAGUGGUGAAAUCUCUCGGCUCAACCGGGAAACUGCCAUUGAUACUGUUAGUCUUGAGUUCGGUUGAGGUAGGCGGAAUGUGUAAUGUAGCGGUGAAAUGCUUAGAUAUUACACAGAACACCAAUUGCGUAGGCAGCUUACUAGACCGACACUGACGCUGAGGCACGAAAGCGUGGGUAGCGAACAGGAUUAGAUACCCUGGAGUCC